rnacentral:rRNA from 1 species
GAUGAGUUGCUGCUGGCUCUCUAGGGAGCAUGUGCACACUUGUCAUCUUUAUAUCUCCACCUGUGCACCUUUUGUAGACCUGGAUAUCUCUCUGAGUGCUUAGCACUUCAGGUUUGAGGAUUGACUUUAUUGUUCUCUCUUUAUAUUUCCAGGCCUAUGUUUCUUCAUAUACCCCAUUGUAUGUUAUAGAAUGUAGUAAAUAGGCCUUUGUGCCUAUAAACCUAUACAACUUUCAGCAACGGAUCUCUUGGCUCUCGCAUCGAUGAAGAACGCAGCGAAAUGCGUUAAGUAAUGUGAAUUGCAGAAUUCAGUGAAUCAUCGAAUCUUUGAACGCACCUUGCGCUCCUUGGUAUUCCGAGGAGCAUGCCUGUUUGAGUGUCAUUAAUAUAUCAACCUCUUCAACUUUGUUGAGUGUUGGAUGUGGGGGUUUUUUUUUGCUGGCCUCUCUCUCUGAGUUCAGCUCCCCUGAAAUACAUUAGCGGAACAAUUUGUUCAUUUGGCGUGAUAAUUAUCUAUGCUAUUGACAUGAAGCAGUUCAGCUUAUAACAGUCCAUUGACUUGGACAAUUUUAUUAUUAUUAAUGUGACCUCAAAUCAGGUAGGACUACCCGCUGAACUUAAGCAUAUCAAUAAGCGGAGGAAAAGAAACUAACAAGGAUUCCCCUAGUAACUGCGAGUGAAGCGGGAAAAGCUCAAAUUUAAAAUCUGGCAGUCUCUGGCUGUCCGAGUUGUAAUCUAGAGAAGUGUUAUCCGCGC